UUAUUGAAGUUCUUUGUGAACUCAACCAUCAAAUGUUUGUUUUUCAUGGAUACUCAAUCGUUUGAUUUUCCUAAGUGAAAAUCAAUAUUGUUUGUUUUUGUCAGUGCUACGGUUGAAGCUUACAAGUUAUUGAAAUGGAGAAUCAGAAAUCAAAUAUUCAAAUGUUUGGGAAGUUUACAUGGACCAUUACGAACUUCUCCACGAUAGAUUCCAAGAAAUUGUACUCGGAUACGUUUUCUCUCGAUGGCCACACAUGGAGGAUUCUUCUAUACCCAAAAAGGAUUCCUGGGAACUGUAUGUCAAUUUUUUUGGAUGCUGGUGUUGCUACUAUGCCUCAUGGAUGGCAAAAAUUUGCAAAUUUCAAACUCAUUCUGAUUAAUCAGCUUAAUCACAAAGAAACUAUAAUAGAAGGUAUAUUUCACACUUA